rnacentral:rRNA from 1 species
UCGCAAUGCCCGAAAGGGUGACGAAGCGACGCCGCGUGUGGGAAGAAGGCCUUCGGGUUGUAAACCACUGUCGGGAGUUAAGAAAUGUAAGGAUGUUAAUAGCGUCCUUACUUGACUAAGGCUCCGGAGGAAGCCACGGCUAACUCUGUGCCAGCAGCCGCGGUAAUACAGAGGUGGCAAGCGUUGUUCGGAAUUAUUGGGCGUAAAGAGCACGUAGGCGGCCUUGAAAGUCAGUUGUGAAAGCCUUCUGCUUAACGGAAGAACAGCAGCUGAUACUGCAAGGCUAGAGUGCGGAAGGGGAGAGUGGAACUUCUGGUGGAGCGGUGAAAUGCGUAGAUAUCAGAAGGAACACCGGCGGCGAAGGCGACUCUCUGGUCCGUAACUGACGCUGAGUGUGCGAAAGCUAGGGGAGCAAACGGGAUUAGAUACCCCGGUAGUCCUAGCCGUAAACGAUGGGCACUAA